AUUUAUUAAUGUUCACCUACAGAGGUUAUGUUUUCUGAUUUUGAGCAGUUUUUCAAGUUACAUUUUCUUAUAACAUUUAUUAUAAUUAUUCAGUUUUUUCUUCUCUCUUUCUCCAUUCCAUGAAUUUCCCAUAUUCUGUUUAGUUGUCAUAAUGUGCAUCAAACCAUGUGUUGGAUGACGUAAUGCAAAUUCUGGUUAUGGUAUCCAUACCUAAAUAAAUCUACUUGACUUGUGGGAGUCCUACAGAAGCCAAGUGUCCAAGUCCAAAGACUGGGUACCAGGGCCUUCCAUAAAUUCUACAGAUAAAUCUCAAGCCAGAUUGAAAAGUGGCAUCUAAGAUAGAUAUUCACAAAGAAUUGCAUAUUAUAAGAUUCAGGCUAAUCGUAAAAACUUUAAGACAUUUUAGUAGUUAUUAAACAGAAAACAAUGAGAAAUUUAAAAACAGACACACUAGAAUUAUCAGAAUGGGUGUGGUGGCUAACAGUGAAAAUGACACUCCUAAGCAUUUUGCCUUUGAUCAAAAUAUUUUUUGCAUCUUUUACUAUGAAAUUAUCUUUAAAAAUAAUAUAUAAAUUUAUUUUCAUAAGUAUAUAUUAACUUUGAUUCUUUAUGAUUAUUAUCCAGCUUGUGUUUGAUUAAAGAUCAUAUUACCCAGACUGGUCACUUAGUUUAGUUUUUACAAGACUUUUGGCUAUAACUUAAAAUCAAAGUUUUCAUCAUAAUUCACUUUGUUAACAGUCAAGUACUACCUAAGUUUGGAUAUUGUCUUUCAAAAAAUGUAUUUCAAACUUUAAAGACAAUUCUUACAGAAGGGAAAUAUAAGUGCUUUGAGCAAUGAAAGUAUAAUUAUAUAAAUGUAAAAAAAUUCAUAGAGCAUAAUUUUUGAAGCAGAUCAAAAUAAAUUAUAUAAAUUAAGGCACAUUGUAAAAACCUCCAUUAUAAUUAUUUUAUAUUGAC
rnacentral:lncRNA from 1 species